CUCCCGCUAACAAGCGCUCGCUGCUGUCUAGGAUCCCGCUGCUUCUGCUGCGGAGCCUUGACUUCCUCUCCCACCUGGCCCUCCUGUGCUGAACUCCGGAGGAGCCCGAGUCUUGGGGUCUUCCCGGGCGCAGCCCGACCCCCGCCCCGGGCUCCAGCGGCGAGAACCCUGCGCCCCCGUGCAGGCGACAGAACUUGUUCCCUGGAUGUCCUGGAGCCUCCGCCUGCCUCCCCGGAGUGGUUCCUUCUACCCGAGAUCGCUCUUCCCCUCCUCCGGCUGCUGUCGCUCUGGGGGGAACGACACCGGGGUUCUCUCUAUUUUUCUUGUGCGCCCGCCUGGAUCGGUGAAGUGCUUCUUCUGCAUGAGUUUAGCUGAAGGAUGCUCUGCAUUUCCUUGAUUUCUAUGGAGACCUCAGAGCCGGGUUUGCCCCUGCUGACACCUCGUCUUGCACCUUCUCUACCUCCCAAAGUCUUUGUCUCUGUCGAUAGCCUGGCAUCACCCCUGGGUCCAGGAGGCCUGUGAUGAACUUAAGGGGAGAGCCUGGAGAAUCACCCUGGUAGGCUUUGAGCGGCAAUGGCUGGACAUACGUCAAGUCACGUGUUAACAUGGGUCAAGACGUCACUAGAAGGCAAGUGCUAAGACUAAAGGCUUAUUUGCGUUUUAUUUAAAUAUGAUGGACGGAGCUUUGGACAAUUUCCAUGGCAGAAAAAUAUAUUCCAUUUUCUAGGCACAACUGCUGGCUGUCAGAUACUUGCUGCCUUUGAAUCGAGCAGCAUCAUCACCAACCACAUCCUAAAUGUAUUUCCGAAUUUGAAGAUCCACCCAAGACAGGAGUUUGGGAGACCCGGCCAUUUUCUGACUUAGGCUUGAGAGUGCAAGGCUGUGUAUCUAGAGCAGCCAAGUUCUAGAGAGCAGUGUUGAAUCCCUGGGAAGAGAGAGCAUGGGGCGUGCUGGUUUAAAAACAGAAAAUGCAAAGUUGGACUGAAAAUAUCCCUAGUCUUCCAAGCAAUCUGCUUAAGGGUUCCAAACUUACCUUAAUUUGGUGAGAAGAGAAGCUGCCCUAUUUUCCUUUCUUCUUCUUCUACAACUGGAACCAGCCGUUUCCAAAGGCCGCCACCAUGGAGGUUGCGAUGGUGAGUGCGGAGAGCUCAGGGUGCAACAGUCACAUGCCUUACGGGUACGCGGCCCAGGCCCGGGCGCGGGAGCGGGAGCGCCUGGCCCACUCGAGGGCCGCGGCCGCGGCCGCCGUCGCCGCUGCCACCGCUGCCCUGGAAGGCGGCGGGGGCUCUGGAGGGGGCUCGCACCACCACCACCAGGCGCGGGCGGCCUGCCCCGCGCAGGAGCCUCCGAGCGGCCGGGGCAGUCGCAGGAGGCGGCCGCCGCGGCCGGAGAAGAGGAGGGCCCACCACCGCCAGAGCGGCUUCCCUCACUGCUCCGACCUGAUGCCCAGCGGCUCUGAGGAGAAGAUCCUGAGGGAGCUGAGCGAGGAGGAGGAGGACGAGGACGAGGAGGACGAGGACGAGGACGAGGAGGGCAGGAUCUGCUGCAGCGAGGACGACCGCGGGGACGAGUGCGCCUACACGGACCUGCUGCCCCAGGAGGACGGCGCCGGCGGGGCCUGCAGCGCCGUGCGCUACAGUGACUGCUGCGAGCGCGUGGUCAUCAACGUGUCCGGCCUGCGCUUCGAGACCCAGAUGAAGACCCUGGCCCAGUUUCCGGAGACGCUGCUGGGGGACCCUGAGAAGAGGACGCAGUACUUUGACCCUUUGCGGAACGAGUAUUUUUUUGACAGGAACAGGCCUAGCUUUGAUGCCAUCUUAUAUUAUUACCAGUCGGGAGGCCGCCUGAAGAGGCCGGUCAACGUGCCCUGUGACAUCUUCACUGAGGAGGUGAAGUUCUACCAGCUGGGGGAGGAGGCCCUGCUCAAGUUUCGGGAGGACGAGGGCUUUGUGAGAGAGGAGGAGGACAGGGCCUUGCCAGAGAACGAGUUUAAGAAGCAGAUUUGGCUCCUCUUUGAGUAUCCGGAGAGCUCCAGCCCGGCGAGGGGCAUAGCCAUCGUCUCCGUCCUGGUCAUCUUAAUCUCCAUUGUCAUUUUCUGCCUGGAAACCUUGCCUGAGUUUAGGGACGACAGGGAUCUCAUCAUGGCCCUGAGUGCGGGUGGGCACAGUGGGUCGUUGAAUGACACCUCGGCACCCCCCCCGGAGAACUCGGGGCACACUAUCUUCAACGACCCCUUCUUCAUCGUGGAGACGGUCUGCAUUGUUUGGUUUUCCUUCGAGUUUGUGGUUCGCUGCUUUGCUUGUCCCAGCCAAGCACUCUUCUUCAAGAACAUCAUGAACAUCAUUGACAUUGUCUCCAUCUUGCCUUAUUUCAUCACACUGGGCACCGAUCUGGCCCAGCAGCAGGGCGGGGGCAACGGUCAGCAGCAGCAGGCCAUGUCCUUCGCCAUCCUCAGGAUCAUCCGGCUGGUCCGAGUGUUCCGGAUCUUCAAGCUUUCCAGACACUCCAAGGGCCUGCAGAUCCUGGGCCACACCCUCAGAGCCAGCAUGCGGGAACUGGGCCUCCUGAUCUUCUUCCUCUUCAUCGGGGUCAUCCUGUUUUCCAGCGCUGUGUAUUUCGCGGAGGCGGAUGAACCUACCACCCAUUUCCAAAGCAUCCCAGAUGCAUUCUGGUGGGCUGUGGUGACCAUGACGACUGUGGGCUAUGGGGACAUGAAGCCCAUCACUGUGGGGGGCAAGAUCGUGGGGUCCCUGUGUGCCAUUGCGGGUGUCCUGACCAUCGCUUUGCCUGUGCCCGUCAUUGUCUCCAACUUCAACUACUUCUACCACAGAGAGACUGAGAACGAGGAGCAGACACAGCUGACACAGAAUGCAGUUAGUUGCCCGUACCUCCCUUCCAAUCUGCUGAAGAAAUUCCGGAGCUCUACUUCUUCUUCCCUGGGGGACAAGUCAGAGUAUCUAGAGAUGGAGGAAGGAGUUAAGGAAUCUCUCUGUGCAAAGGAGGAGAAGUGUCAGGGAAAGGAGGAUGACAGUGAGACAGAUAAGAACAACUGUUCUAAUGUGAAGGCUGUGGAGACCGACGUGUGAAUCUCGCUCUCCGCCCGCCACAGUCCCUCCCCCAUCCCCAGCAUCUCCAAAUAUAUUUAUGCAUAGAGAGUGCAGUUAUGAAAAUGAAAUAUGCAAAUGAAGCCAACGCAUACAGUAGUACGCCAUUUAAUGGUUAUACAUGGCAUAAUUGUUACUAAACUUGUCUUACAUAUCAAAUAAAUGAUACAUCUUGGAGAAGAGGGAGGCUUAAAUAGGAGCAAAUCUAUCUUUAUAUUUUUUAUUAGAAUGCAAGAAUUUUGCACAUUAACUGGAAAAGAUGUUAAACAUAAAGGUGGUUCCAUGGAGAGAACGUGUUUGUGUGCGUGCGUGCUGCGUGCGUGUGUGUGUGUAAAUAAAUUGUCAACGUUGUUAGUAAUUGUGCAGUGAUGGGAAAAGUUGGCAUUUUGAGUAUUUACUAUGUAAGAACUGAUGAACUCGAGCAGUCAUUUUCAGUGCUUUUAUAGCCUCUCACGUCUUUGGAUUCCAUAGUUGUUGUUUUUUAAAAAUUGUGAGAAUUACUAUGUAGAAAAAAAAGAAAGUGAAUUAUUUAAUAGAAUAUAGGUCACAGUUUUAUCAUGGAUUUAAUUAAAGUUUAUUUUUAACUGGAAAUUAACUUUUAAAAAGGCUGCAGGGGCCUUUAGAAAUUGAUUAUAUUUUACUAUUAAUUUUGGAAAGAUAGGACAGCAAAUGCCUAACAAUAUGGAAGAAAUGAAAUAGGAGAAAAUGUAACAAGUUUUGUUCACAGAUACCAGGACUGGAAUGUUUGGUUUUUCUUUCCUUUGCACUACUUUAAAUGCUGGAGAUUGAGAGACACUUCAUACUGUGAAUGUUUACUAAUGUAACAGUUCAAUGACAAUCAUUGGAAGAAUGAUUUCUUAGUCUUAUUAUAUUGCUCUCUUCUUUUCUUUGUGUGAGACUAAUGGCCACAGAGAUAACAGCACAUGACUCCCUUCUCUUUUUAAGUCUAAAUAACUGAUGUGCAAAGGGACUAUGAAGCCAAAUUUAGCAACUGAAUCUUUUGAAAUUGGUCUGUUACAAUGAUGCUUCUGAAACCAUACUAUUUUAAAUAUUCUUCUGCCUUUAAAUCCAGAAUAAUUUAACCAAAGGUAAUGCAUGCACUGAAAGAAUUCUGGAAGACGUGAGAUGCCCAGCAGCUACAGUGAUUGUGGCUUCAGAGCUUUCUAUUAAAUGUGCGACAUAAAUGCUGGAUUUAUUAAGUCUGUUCCUUUGUGCAGCUCCCUAAGAGCAGAGUGUGGGGUCCAUCUCAGAAUUUAGCGUUCUAUUUGCUAAAAUUGAUAUAAAAAAGAAUUGCAUCAAAACGUUUGGUUUCAACAUCACCAUCAUUAUCAUUUUGAUUAAAGGAAUUUAUGACACACGUAACUGCGUUUAACUCACGACGAGGUUCUAGAAUGUGAGGUAACGGCCAAUGAUGGGACUUGACUAUUAAGUCACAAUGAGAUGUGGGUUAGCAAACUCAGAAUGUGUAAGAGGCCUUGUUCUCCACUGUUUCUUCAACUCUGUUCUUUAUAAGAUAGUUGUCCUGAGGUUUGGAAAAAAAUACUACCUAGAGUAUCGUAGCUCGUAAUGAACUCUGACAACUGUGAACUAAAAGAAAAAAAAAGACCUAGAAUAGCUUGUCUUCGGCUUUUUAAUCCCAGGCCAUCAUUUGAUAGGAAUGUAAAUCUUACCUCUCCUUUAAUGAUAUUUGAAAUUCAAAGUGAGUCCAGUGUUAGGUCUGAAAGCAAAGCUUCACUCUUCCCCCCAUGCCUUCCCCAGGACUUUGCAGAGCCACACCUCCUCAGAGAACAACUCUGGGAGAAUGAGAAGCAGCCACAGGGGAGUCAGGUCUGAAAGUGCAGACCAAAGGUCUCUAGGGGACAGUAGAGAGUGAGAAAAUAAGGAAAUGCCAUCUUGUAACAAGACUUCAAAGAUGGCGUUAUAAUAUAUUUUGGAUUUGGAGCAAACGUGUAGCAAGCAUUAGACGGGGGAAAGGCUAUUUGGGUCAUUUGGAAAAGUCACUCUGUUAAUCUCUGUGCCCCAAUUUCCUCCUAGUAAAAAGAGGGCGCCAUAAAGCAUGUGUGACGUCCCAGAGCUGUUGAGGAAAGCCAGUGAGAGCGUGUGAAGACUGAGAUGUCGAGUUCCAUGCCAAUGCCUGAUGUGGUGUCUACAUCGCUUCAUCUCCCUCUGGGAGAAAAAGAGGUUGAGAACCUAUGAGCGACAUCUGCUUUGUUAGGAUCUUGUGGAAAUCAUGGGUCUGAUCCAGCCAAUGAGAAGACAGUAAACUGCUUUUUUCCUGGAGCAGCAACAAGGAAAUCCAGGCGAGUGAACUGAUCCUUUAGCUGUGGUCCCAGACCUGGGAGGCGUAUGUGUGUAAGUCCGGCAUCCCAGUUCCCUUUGGUCUUAGUCUCUCAGAGCAUCUGGUACCAAACCAUAGACUGGCUGGGAAUUGAAGCUGUUUGUCGUAUUAGGGCUACAAUGCACCUCCCCCUUCAGAGCCAGGGCUUCUUCCACGUUUUUAGAAGAUUACCGCUGGCACGGGUAUUUCACAGUGGGGAGUUCCCCCUCCCCCUCCCCUGCUCUAAUGCAGAAUAUUAAUGUGAAUUAAACUGAGGGUAUUAAAACUGAGACCGAGUUAAGCAACCAGUGGAAGUCCUGGGAGUGGAUGUCACUAAGGCAGAGCCGAGGGGCGUGUUCAUGUAGGUUGCUGCCAGUGUGCAGUUCUUAGAGGCAUGGAAAAAUCGUAAAAUCUGUGCAGCGUCAUGAGAGCUCCUUGCUGCUGCUGUCUGCGCUGUGGCGGUUUGGCUCCUUGCUGCUGUUCCAGAGAAGAAGUGUCCUUCCACUACUAGGGUUCACAGACUUCACAGGCCUCCAGGCGGCGUGAGGAACGUGGGGACAGAAAGGGUGAGCUUAGACAGAUCAGGGGGAAGCAACACACAGUGUUUUCAGGUGUGAAUCAUCCUGUGACACCCGACUGUUUUGCUCCCUCCAGGGACUGAGGGAAUCUUUGGGCGGGAGAGGCGCUGCCCAGGAGUUACGGAUGCCUUUUUGUCUGCCGAGGGUAUCGCUGCUGGAGAUCAGUCUGUCUGGCACGGGAUACGUCCUGCCCUCCUUGUUAGAAUAAGCUGAAAAUUACAUGCUGGAGACGUUUUCAUUUUGGUUAUGAAAAGCGGUAGUUGUGUUAUAAGCUUUGCAGGAUAGAUUAGAAAGUCAUGCAACUUUCAAAAAUUUGACUGCACCCCUGAAAGGAUUUGGGAAGGAAAUCAAGGUGGACGAUUCUGAUAUAAGUUCUGACCCAAUAUGAACUGGUUCAAAAUCAAGUGUUCAAAGGUCUGCCUUUUAGUUUCCCUUUUCAAUCUCCCCCCAUUAUGAAGCUGCUGUUUGUUUUUAACUGCAGAGAUAGACCUGUAAAGCGCGUGGCACCCCCACCUCCCCCGCCCCGCUGCACCCGUCACCUUCACUUCCACAGAAGCCGGGAUCCGGAAGGCUUCUGCCAUCCCAGGUUCACAGAUUCUCAAGGAGAGCUUUUUUUGAGUGAUCCGGGCAGAUAUCUUCCCGUUUCACAAAUCAGGCCGUGCCAGUGCACACCCAGAUUCUUCUGCCACACCUGCUGUGUGAGUCUGUUGUGUUCUCUUAUUAUGCUGGGUAUUUUCUGCCUAUUGCUGAACAGCUGGGAUUUAGAAACAGCUGGAUGAUUAGUUGUGUAUUUUCCAUUUUUCACCCAGAUGCUUUAUUACUGUGUAGAAACAACCCCAAUGUGGAAUGAGCUGGGAGUAUAAUAGCAAAAAUCGUGCUCUGGUGCAACUGUUGUUAUUAGGAGUUUAAUCAAGAAAAUUAAGGGCAAACUGUUUUGAGUCUUGUUCACUUUACAAACACGUUGUCAGACAGGGAGGACUCAUUUCCAUUCCCAGGCAAGGCAGCUGAUGUACCAGCUUGUAAAAUGCCUCCUGCGAUGUUCCUCAGGCUACAGAGCGAGGCUCUGGCUGCUGCGUUUAUCUGCUGGAGGGGAAAUGUCUACACUCGCUGAGACAUCGCCUGGGUCUUCCACUCUGCUGGCAGAGGAGCUGACAGCGCGGCCGACUCCAGCCCUCUCACUCACCAGGGGCUAUUUUUAGGUUGGUCCCUUGGUGACUAGCUUCAACCCUGACUGGAGGGUUGAAAUUCAGAGACAAUGCAAUGUUUUAUUGUGACGAUUUAGGUUUAUAAAACUGUUUGGUAUUGUGAAAGGGACAAAUUUAAUUCGGGUGCUGUUUGUCAGUUCCUCACCCAGGGCUAAAAUUAGAACAGAAAGGGUGCACAGACUUCUUUCUUUUACCAAUUAUUUUUCACCAGAUGUUUGUUGAGCUCACGUAGGUGACUGGGCUGCACCUGUGUUCCCACCCUCUGCAUGUAUGAACACCAGCGAGUCAGUCCACGUGGAAGGAUUUUUGAGUUAUGGAAAGAAUCAUUUUUCUAGAUAGCAGCAUUCCUGUUUACCAUUCUUUUUUUUUUCUUUUUUUCCCCAGAAUCUGUAUGGGUGACUGGGUCUAGUUUCUCCUUGGAGAGUGAAUUGGCAGGCUAUCAUGCUUUAAUAAUACUUUUUAUAAACUCUAUCUUGCGUUCUGUACUAUGCUUCGUUUUCUGUCAUAGCUUCUGUAUAAACUGCAGGGUAAAUGGGACCGAAUUCAACUUGCCCGUUUUUUAUGAUUCUUACAUGAGCAGUAGCAGUCAUCAGUGCUUUCAAAUAGUGGAGAUGACCGUAAAAGAGUAUUUACUUCUUUUAAUCCCCAGGAUUUAUAUUUCUUCCAUCGAAUAGCAUGUGAUUAAGUUAUAACUGAGAGAGAGACAGAGAGAAGCAGAUUUGACUGAAAUAAUAAACAUCUGUGAAACAAUAAACAAUAAUGUAUUUUUAAUUCAAAAGUAGGUUUUUUUCAGGACCAUGGUUUUCUGCCCCCACAAAAGCAUUUUUUUUUCUUAAACUCUCCUGUAUCUUUCUCCUUGAGAAAGGUAUGAAUGCUGUUGAUGGUGCGUUUAAAAAUUUUGAUUUGAGUGAAGACCUGAGUUUCUUUCUUGGAUAAAUAUAAAAAUGAUUAUUCUUUUUGUGGACAUUUCUACCAAGGAAAGCCAAAUAAAAUUGGAUCAAUGACAUGGCUAAGUCAGGGCAGUUGAGGCAGACUUGCAGGAUUUUUCUGAGAUUUUUCUUCUGUCUCCAUUGAUCAGAUCCCAUAGGUAUUUGCCCAGGUUUCCAUUUACUUUUCAAGAUGAUGUCUGAUUUCUUUCUCUUGGAGUUAAGGCUUUCACAUUUGAAAUGCAGUUGUAAUAACAUUUUUUUAUUUAGCUCUCUCCAGCUAGCUUUAACUUCUUAAGAACAACUCAGACUUCUCCUAUGAAAUGUGUCUUGAGGACUAUCUUGUUCAUUUUCAGAACAUACAUUAGAGACCCUUGGCUUUUAGUCUUCAUUCAAGCCAAACAACCCGUAUCUUUAAUUGAAGCUGCUUCUACUUGAAGCCAAAACAAUUGGUCGUGUCAGUGAAGAAAAAUUAAAAAGCCAAGUUGAUUGUCUGGCAUCAUGAAGUCAUUGAUUCAAUUCUGCUUCAUUAAAGCCGUUAGUAUCAAACGCCUCCUGAAUUCUCUUUAAAUUUGGGGAGUUUUAAAUUGUUAUCUAUUCUGUCAGAGAAGUACCUUUAACUGUAAAACCAUUAUCUUGUGGGAUUUUAAUUUUUUACUUUAGCAAACAGCAACUAUUCCUGUGCCUUAGAAAUAUGACGUUCUGCACAUUAAAUGCAAAUGAAAUCCUUAUUUAUGUGAUUUCUUAAAACUGAGAUUACUUUUCCUUCACAAUUUUCAUGAAAGUAUCUGCAAACUUUGAAAAUGUAUGUUUCAGCCUAAAUUAGUAGAC